GGGGGCGGCGGGGGAGAGGGCGGGGCCGGCGGCGAUGACGUCACGGGCGGGCUCGGUGACGUCAUCGGUGAGGUCGAUGAUGUCACAGGGGGGCGUGGCCUCGGCGGAGCCGCUUCUGAUGACGUCGCGGCCAUUUUUGAUGACGUCACGGCCCCGUUCGAUGACGUCACGGCCGCUCCCGAUGACGUCACUGCCAUUUUUUAGGACGUCACUGCCGCUACCGAUGACGUCGCGGCCGUUUUUGAUGACGUCACGGCCGCUUUCGAUGACGUCAUGAACGCGCUCGAUGGCGUCAUGGCCGCUGUCCGUGAUGUUGCUGCCGUUUUUGAUGACGUCACCGUCUCUCUCCGUGACCUCACGGCCGCUUCUGAUGACGUCACUGCCGCCGUUGAUGACGUCACGACCGUUUUUGAUGACGUCACGGUCGCCGUCGACGGCCUCGCCGCCAUUUUCGACGGCGUCGCCGCCAUUUUCGAUGAGGUCACGGCCAUUUCUGAUGACGUCACGGCCGGCCCAGCGGAAGGUUGGCGCCCUCAGCAGGGCCCGGCGGGGGGAGGGGCAGAGCGGGGGGGCCUGGGGGGAUUUUGGGGGGUCCCGGGUGGAAUUUGGGGUGUCCUGAGUGAAAUUUUGGGGUUCCCAGGUGGAAUUUCGAGGGUCCCAGUUGGAAUCUGGGAGAUCCCGGGUGGAUUUUGGGGGGUCCCGGGUGGAAUUUCGGAUGUCCUGGGUGGAAUUUUGGGUGUCCCAAGUGGAAUUUGGGGGGUCCCGCGUAAAUUUUGGGGGGUCCCGAGGGUCCCCAAGGGGGUCCGGGAUGGAUUUUGGGGGGUCCUGGAUGGUUUUGGGGAGGUCAAGGGUAAAAUUUGGGGGGUCCUGGGUGGAAUUUUGGGGUUUCCAGGUGGAAUUUUGGGGUUCCUGAAGGGAUUUUGGGGGGUCCCGGGCGGAAUCUGGGGGGUCCCGGGUGGAAUUUUGGGUGUCCCAAGUGGAAUUUGGGGGGUCCGGGAUGGAUUUUGGGGGGUCCCGGGUGGAAUUUUGGCUGUCCCAGGUGGAAUUCGGGGGGUCCCAGGUGGAAUUUUGGGGUUCCUGGGUGGGAUUUGGGGGGUCCGGGAUGGAUUUUGGGGAGUCCUGAGUGGAUUUUGGGGGGUCGCAGGUAAAUUUUGGGGGGUCCCGAGGGUCCCCAAGGGGAUCCUGAGCCAAUUUUGGGGUGUCCCGGGUGGAAUUUUGGGGUUCCCAGAAGGAAUUUUGGGGUUCCCGGGGGUAAUUUUGGGGUUCCCGGGGGGAAUUUUGGGGUUCCUGGGAUGGAUUUUGGGGUUCCCAGAAGGAAUUUUGGGGUUCCCGAGCGGAAUUUUGGGGUUCCUGGAUGCAAUUUUGGGGUUCCCGGGGGGAAUUUUGGGGCUCCCGGGUGGAAUUUUGGGGUUCCCAGGUGGAAUUUUGGGGUUCCUGGAUGCAAUUUUGGGGUUCCUGGAUGGAAUUUUGGGGUUCCUGGGAUGGAUUUUGGGGUUCCCAGGUGGAAUUUUGGGGUUCCUGGAUGGAAUUUUGGGGUUCCCAGGUGGAAUUUUGGGGUUCCUGGGAUGGAUUUUGGGGUUCCCGGGUGGAAUUUUGGGGAUCCUGGGAUGGAUUUUGGGGUUCCUGGAUGGAAUUUUGGGGUUCCUGGGUGGAAUUUUGGGGCUCCCAGGUGGAACGUUGGUGCCCGCCGUUCACUUCCGGGGUGGGCGUGUCCGCGAAGCGCCGGGGCGGUCUGAUUGGCCGAGCCGAGCGAGCGCUGACCAAUGGCAUCACGAACUGCCGCAGGCCCCGCCCGCCGCCGCUGCUCCUGGCCCCGCCCCCUC
ensembl:lncRNA